rnacentral:lncRNA from 1 species
AAUAGCCUUCGUUCUAUUUUCACUUGAUCCUGUUUCGGUUCUUUAUACCCUGAGGUCGAUUAGGCUAAUUCAUUAGCUUGUUUAUUUUCUUCUCUGGCCAAAUGCUCAAACUCAACCUCCCCGAAACUGCAGAGUAAUUCUAUCGUUUUUCUCAAAUAAUUUUGCAAAUUUCGGUUUUCACAUCGGUAUUUUCCAUUUACCUGUUUAAUUACCAAUUG